rnacentral:tRNA from 2 species
GCCAGAUUAGUGUCAGUGGUAACACAAGUCAUUCGUAACGAUUUAUCAUCGGUUCGAUUCCGAUAUCUGGCUC